ensembl:lncRNA
CUCCACCAGUGUCACCUCCAGCGCUGUCACCUCCACCAAUGUCACCCCCACUGGUGUCACCACCACCGAUGUCACCUCCACUGGUGUCACCUCCACCGAUGUCACCUCCACCGCUCCAGCCACCACCUCAGCAGGGACCUCCACUGUCUCUUCUGCUACUGAGGGAACCCCAACUGCUGUCACCUCCACCAGUGUCACCCCCACUGAUGUCACCUCCACUGCUCCUGCCACCACCUCAGGAGGAUCCUCUGCUGUCUCCUCUUCUACUGAGGGAACCACCACUGCUGUCACCUCCACUGGUGGCACCACCACAGAUGUCACCUCCACCAGUGUCACCCCCACAUCAUCUCCCACUGCCUCAGGAGCGUCCUCUACAGCCUCUUCCACAACCCUGCAAGGACCCUCCACCGAUGUCACCUCCACUGCUGUCACCUCCACCAGUGUCACCUCCGCUGAUGUCACCUCCACUGCUGUCACCCCCACAGCAUCUCCCACUGCCUCAGCAGCAUCCUCUACAGCCUCUACUACAACCCUGCUAGGACCCUCCACUGGUGUCACCUCCUCCGAUGUCACCUCCACUGUUCCUGCCACCACCUCAGGAGGAUCCUCCGCUGUCUCCUCUACUACUGAGGGAACCUCCACCAGUGUCACCUCCAUAGAUGUCACCUCCACGGGUGUCACCCCCACCGCUGUCACCUCCACCAGUGUCACCUCCACCAGUGUCACCUCCACCAGUGUCACCUCCACUGCUCCUGCCACCAGCUCAGGAGGAUCGUCCGCUGUCUCCUCUACUACUGAGGGAACCCCCAGUGGUGUCACCUCCACUGCUGUCACCUCCACCGGUGUCACCUCCACCAGUGUCACCUCCACUGCUCCUGCCACCAUCUCAGGACAGAACCCCGCUGUCUCCUCUACUACUGAGGGAACCUCCACCAGUGUCACCUCCACUGGUGUCACCUCCACCAGUGUCACCUCCAUCAGUGUCACCUCCUCCGAUGUCACCUCCACCGCUCCUGCAACCAGCUCAGGAGGGACUUCCGCUGUCUCCUCUUCUACUGAGGGAACCACCACUACUGUUUCCUCCGCCGUUGUCACCUCCACUGGUGUCACCCCCACUGGUGUCACCACCACCGAUGUCACCUCCAUCAGUGUCACCCCCACCGAUGUCACCUCCACUGCUCCUGCCACCACCUCAACAGAGACCUCUGCUGUCUCCUCUACUACUGACGGAACCUCCACCAGUGUCACCUCCACUGGUGUCACCACCACUGGUGUCACCUCCUCUGAUGUCACCUCCACUGCUCCUGCCACCACCUCAGCAGGGACCUCCACUGUCUCCUCUACUACUGAGGGAACCACCACUGCUGUCACCUCCACUGGUGUCACCUCCACCAGUGUCACCCCCACCGGUGUCACCUCCACUGCUCCUGCCACCACCUCAGUAAUGACCUCCACUGUCUCCUCUACUACUGAGGGAACCUCCACCAGUGUCACCUCCACUGGUGGUACCUCCUCCGAUGUCACCUCCACAAGUGUCACCUCCACUGCUCCUGCCACCACCUCAGCAGGGACCUCCACUGUCUCCUCUACUACUGAGGGAACCCCCACCACUGUCACCUCCACAGACGUCACCUCCAUCAGUGUCACCUCCACUGGUGUCACCUCCACAGAUGGCUCCUCCACUGGUGGCACCACCACGGAUGUCACCUCCACUGGUGUCACCUCCACCGGUGUCACCCCCACUGAUGUCACCUCCACUGCUCCUGCCACCACCUCAGGAGGAUCCUCCGCUGUCUCCUCUACUACUGAGGGAACCACCACUGCUGUCACCUCCAUCGCUGUCACCUCCACGGGUGUCACCACCACGGAUGGCACCUCCACAGAUGUCACCUCCAGCAAUGUCACCUCCACUGGUGUCCCCCCCACCGAUGUCACCUCCACUGCGCCUGCCACCACCUCAGCAGGGACCUCCGCUGUCUCCUCUACUACUGAGGGAACCUCCACCAGUGUCACCUCCACCAGCGUCACCUCCACCGAUGUCACCUCCACCGGUGUCACCUCUACUGCUGUCACCUCCACUGCUUCUGCCACCACCUCAGCAGGGACCUCCAUUGUCUCCUCUACUACUGAGGGAACCCCCACCACUGUCACCUCCACAGAUGUCACCUCCACCAGUGUCACCUCCACUGGUGUCACCUCC